UGGGGGAUAUUGCACAAUGGGCGAAAGCCUGAUGCAGCGACGCCGCGUGGGGGAUGAAGGCCUUCGGGUUGUAAACUUCUUUUGCUCUGAACAAGGCGCACCAUGGGGUGUGUUGAGUGUAGGGGUUGAUUAGCGCCGGCUAACUACGUGCCAGCAGCCGCGGUAAUACGUAGGGCGCGAGCGUUGUCCGGAAUUAUUGGGCGUAAAGGGCUUGUAGGUGGCUGGUUGCGUCUGUCGUGAAAGCUCAUGGCUUAACUGUGGGUUUGCGGUGGGUACGGGCUGGCUUGAGUGCAGUAGGGGAGGCUGGAAUUCCUGGUGUAGCGGUGGAAUGCGCAGAUAUCAGGAGGAAUACCGGCGGCGAAGGCGGGUCUCUGGGCUGUUACUGACACUGAGGAGCGAAAGCAUGGGGAGCGAACAGG
rnacentral:rRNA from 1 species